rnacentral:sRNA from 1 species
AGACAGUGGGGAAAGCAUGAGACUCUUUGAUGUGGAGUAAAGCCAGAGAAGGAAAAUUCAUCUGCUCACAGGCAGGCAGUCCCUGCAGGAUCCCACAUACGGCUGAAUCUUCAGACUGGGGAAAGAGAGGCAAAACUCCAAUAUGAGGACAAAUUCCGAAAUAAUUUGAAAGGCAAAAGGCUGGAUAUCAACACCAACACCUACACAUCUCAGGACCUCAAGAGCGCACUGGCAAAAUUCAAAGAGGGGGCAGAGAUGGAGAGUUCAAAGGAAGACAAGGCAAGGCAGGCUGAGGUAAAGCGGCUCUUCCGCCCCAUUGAGGAACUGAAGAAAGACUUUGAUGAGCUGAAUGUUGUCAUUGAGACUGACAUGCAGAUCAUGGUACGGCUGAUCAACAAGUUCAAUAGUUCCAGCUCCAGUUUGGAAGAGAAGAUUGCUGCGCUCUUUGAUCUUGAAUAUUAUGUCCAUCAGAUGGACAAUGCGCAGGACCUGCUUUCCUUUGGUGGUCUUCAAGUGGUGAUCAAUGGGCUGAACAGCACAGAGCCCCUCGUGAAGGAAUAUGCUGCGUUUGUGCUGGGGGCUGCCUUUUCCAGCAACCCCAAGGUCCAGGUGGAGGCCAUCGAAGGGGGAGCCCUGCAGAAGCUGCUGGUCAUCCUGGCCACGGAGCAACCGCUCACUGCAAAGAAGAA